GAUGAACGCUGGCGGCGUGCCUAAUACAUGCAAGUCGAACGAGGUGCUUUUGUAGCAAUACGAGAGUAUCCUAGUGGCGAACGGGUGAGUAACGCGUGGAUGACCUGCCCCAAAGUGUGGGAUAACAGUCCGAAAGGAUUGCUAAUACCUCAUGUGGUUAUCGGUUUUAGAAAGACGAUAACUAAAGACAGCAAUAGCGCUUUGGGUAGGGAGUCUGCGUCCCACUCAGCUAGUUGGUGAGGUAACGGACUCACCAAGGACGACGACGGGUAGGGGACCGUGAGAGGGUGGGCCCCCCACCAAUAGGAACGUAGAAACAACGGU
rnacentral:rRNA from 1 species